UGUAGUUGAUGAUCAAGUAAAAUGUGAAAAAUGGAUCUGUAAUGAUGAUAACCAUUCUGAGGAGUCAAAAUCGAGCUGGUGGUUGAACUGACUCAUAGGUCGAACCACGAAGGUGACUUUUGACUGGCCUUUCCCUUUCGCACAAGGGGAGUUGUUUGUCAUGACUCUUAAUGCAAGACAUAUUACUUCGUUUCCUUAUCGGACUGUGAGUAAACAUUUUGAUAUGUUUUUUUCUCAAUUUCAUUUAGAAAAAUCUUUAGAAGGGAGAUUGAGGACGAUUCUUAUUUCCUUCGAGUUCUCACCACGUCGUAUCCUGGCAUCUCAUAAGUUCAUAACCGUUCAAGAUCAAUCACUUCGUCACUCCUCAUAUGGGGAAAGUAGGAAUGGCGAAACAGAAUGAAUAAAGGUGGAGUUUGCCAUCGUCACUCCACCGUCUAAAGCUACCGCAACCACCAGAACCUGCACUCGGUACGAUUAAGGCAAUAAGUGUUCGGUACGAAUUGAUUUCAUUCACUUAUUCAUGACCUGUAAGUUGUUUGAUUUAGGGUUUGCAGUAAACAGAACCUAAAAUGCUGAACCAUAUGGUCAGUUGUGGGUCAUUGGUGAUUUAAUUGGAUGUUGCAUAUAUUCAGAUUAAUGAUAAGUUUUCGUAUUACAGAAAAACUGUUUCACUUGAUGUGGUAUUUAACGGAAUAUGGUUCCUCAGGUAGUGCCCACCCUUUUAGAUACCCUAUUCAAGAUUUUUCAUCGAAUUCAAAUUUUGCCAUCGAAUUCAAAUUUUGCCAUCAAGGUUUAUAAGAAGACUAAUCAGGGCUCUUGCAUUUCUAACCUGGCAUAUCAUUCCGGGAUUACCAAAUCAAGUAAUCAACAGUUGCAACUAAAAACAUUAGAGUUUGGAAACUGAACGAAACUGACGUCUUCAUAAGUAUUUGGAAUUCAUUUAAUGGCUAUCAUUCAAGAAUUUGGAAACUGAAAGUUAUUAGGAUUACUACAAUAUUUACUUAACCUUCUAAUAAGUAAUUUGUGCCACUUGAUUUCUCCCUGCUCUCUAUCGGUUCCACCAUCUGAGGCGCUUUCUGUAUCAGCCCAUGCACCUUGAGCAUCAGGCACGUCUUUUUAAACUAGGCGCGAUACCGCAUAUCAUGAAACUCUUUGGUAAAGUAAGUGUAAAAAUGGUUUUUAUUCGCUUUUUGGAACUUCUUGUUUUAUCAAUAAUUAAUGUUUGGAUGAUUAUUUACAUAUGUGUCAUUAUCUGUACAUUUGAUUGUUUAUUGGUAUCUUUAUCAAAAGUUCUGAACUACCAAGUUUGCUAAUCAUACAUUUUGCUCAAACUGCAAAUCAAGAGUGCAAAACUGUUGCCCGACGUGCCAUUCUGAGCUGGGAAACAUAUGGUGUUUGGCUUUGCAAAAAGUAGCAGAAUCAUUAGAGCUUCCUUGCAAACUAAAACUUGAGAAAAAUUGUUGAUUUCACCCCUACAAUUGUCCUUAUGUUGGAUCCGAAUGCAGUCACAUGUGAUAUUCCAAAUCAUCGAUGGAUGCACAUUCAAUUAUUGAAAUGUCAAAUCCAACCCCCAUGAAGUUGAAAACGCUAAAUGGAUGCUAACCAUAAGUUGUAUAUCUAUUAAUAAACAUUAAUAUUUGUCCAUAGAAUAUUUUAUUUAUUAUAUAUAUUUUAUUGCUCU